CCGACCGGGCUCGCUCCCGCGGGGCAAAACCGCAGCGCUGCCCCCCCGCGCCGCCGAGAGCUUGUGCCGAGCCCAGGAGGGCCCCAGACUACUCUCGAGCAUAGAUUUUUCCGCUCCCUCCCUCCAAACAGCCUUCAAACGCGAAUGCAAAUCAGCCGAGCCAAAGAGGCAGAUCACACCCCGCAGGCAAACGAAUUUGGCGUUCCAGAGUAUCCGAAAAUGAAAAGCUUUCAAAAUCCACUUCACAUGUGGCUGCACCGGUUGCAGCUAUAGAGCACACCCAUGCCAAUGCCACCCCUGCCGCCAGGCAGGCUUUCAGGGCUAAGAUUUUGGACAGCAAAGAGAGAAAGAGAGAUUGCUUCGCUUUAAAACAGCAAGUGGUUUUCACACACAUAGAAACAAACAUACCUUCUGGAUCAAAAUACGAGUCUGGGGGUUAGAAGUGACUCCUCCUUCUUUGACAACCUCUGCACCAUUUUACACUGCCUGGAUUCGACAAUUAGACCAAGCCCAUUGCAACCAGUGACCUUGAUCACAUUAUUUGAACACAGAUUUUCCCUGGGUUCAAAGCUGUGCAUGUAUGCAUUCACAGCAUCUACACCAGAAUUUCCUCUAACAAGUCUUAUGGGACUCUAUAAACCAAUGAUUUAUAAGCCUUGAGGGGAGAAGGGGAAGUGUUCUCCACAAAAAUCUUCUUAUCUUCUGAAAAAAUAUAGGAUUGUGAUGGCUAUCUUCAAGAAAUACACCCAUUCAGAUUUAUUUCCCUCCUUGUGGAACUCUCAGGAUUUACUAGAUGCAAAGCUAGGUCAGGUAUAAAGUCUGUAGUAACUGCUCUAAAACCAUACAGAAUCAAAUAAAAAUAUGAACCCUCUUCUUUAAUUUUAUAUAUAACUGUCCUAUAGGUUCCUACAGGAUGUCAUGGAAGGAAAUAGACCCAGAAAUGAGACCACAGUAGUUAGCACCAUUGUCACCGGAUCCGAAAGGGAUAAAAAGAGGAGCUGGUCUGUAACACCUGCUUUCCCUCAACAUUUAUAUAAACCCUUCUGCCAACACAGUGCUGCUGCCAAGGGAUAUGGGUGCAACUGACCCCCGGAAGCACGGAGUGAGAAAAUUACCACUCUGAGGAUUAGAGAUGCAUUAAAAACAAAACAAAACAAAAUAAAAAGAGCCACCAAAGCCCAAAUCCUCCUACAGCUGCUGGACUUCAGUGCCUUGACUCCCCACAAGAUGAAGUGUUAAUAAGACCCUGCUAUAAAAUAAAGGAAUCGCCAAUAUUUCUGACAGUAA